rfam:Schistosoma margrebowiei strain Zambia genome assembly, scaffold: SMRZ_scaffold0000240
AGCCUUCUGUAUCUGUGCUGAGAUUUCGUCACAUAGCAGACCACAAGGGCUGAUGAGACUUCCAAGAUAAGUGAAGCG